CGAAGGGGGCUAGCGUUGCUCGGAAUCACUGGGCGUAAAGGGUGCGUAGGCGGGUUUUUAAGUCAGGGGUGAAAUCCUGGAGCUCAACUCCAGAACUGCCUUUGAUACUGAAGAUCUUGAGUCCGGGAGAGGUGAGUGGAACUGCGAGUGUAGAGGUGAAAUUCGUAGAUAUUCGCAAGAACACCAGUGGCGAAGGCGGCUCACUGGCCCGGUACUGACGCUGAGGCACGAAAGCGUGGGGAGCAAACAGG
rnacentral:rRNA from 1 species